GCAUAUCAAUAAGCGGAGGAAAAGAAACCAACAGGGAUUGCCUCAGUAACGGCGAGUGAAGCGGCAACAGCUCAAAUUUGAAAUCUGGCCGCAAGGUCCGAGUUGUAAUUUGUAGAGGAUGCUUUUGGCGAGGUGCCUUCCGAGUUCCCUGGAACGGGACGCCAUAGAGGGUGAGAGCCCCGUACGGUCGUGCCACCGAGCCUCUGUAAAGCUCCUUCGACGAGUCGAGUAGUUUGGGAAUGCUGCUCUAAAUGGGAGGUGUACGUCUUCUAAAGCUAAAUACCGGCCAGAGACCGAUAGCGCACAAGUAGAGUGAUCGAAAGAUGAAAAGCACUUUGAAAAGAGGGUUAAAAAGUACGUGAAAUUGUUGAAAGGGAAGCAUUCAUGACCAGACUUGGGCUUGGUUGAACAUCCGGCGUUCUCGCCGGUGCACUCUGCCAGCUCAGGCCAGCAUCAGUUUGCCCCGGGGGAUAAAGGCGGCGGGAAUGUGGCUCCCCUCGGGGAGUGUUAUAGCCCGUCGUGUAAUGCCCUGGGGCGGACUGAGGUUCGCGCUCGGCACGGAU
rnacentral:sRNA from 1 species